rnacentral:rRNA from 1 species
AGAGUUUGAUCAUGGCUCAGAACGAANGCUGGCGGCGUGCCUAAGACAUGCAAGUCGUGCGAGAAAGGGGCUUCGGCCCUGAGUAAAGCGGCGCACGGGUGAGUAACGCGUGGGUAACCUACCUCGAAGUUGGGAAUAACCCGGGGAAACCUGGGCUAAUGCCGGAUGAGCCCACGAGAUCCUUGGAUCAUGUGGGAAAAGGUGGCCUCUGCUUGCAAGCUACCGCUUCGAGACGGGCCCGCGUCCCAUUAGCUAGUUGGUGAGGUAACGGCUCACCAAGGCUCCGAUGGGUAGCUGGUCUGAGAGGACGAUCAGCCACACUGGAACUGAGACACGGUCCAGACUCCUACGGGAAGCAGCAGUCGGGAAUCUUGGGCAAUGGGCGCAAGCCUGACCCAGCGACGCCGCGUGAGGGAUGAAGGCCUUCGGGUCGUAAACCUCUGUCGGGAGGGAAGAACGGCGGUGAGGUGAAUAAUCUCGCCGAUUGACGGUACCUCCAAAGGAAGCGCCGGCUAACUCCGUGCCAGCAGCCGCGGUAAUACGGAGGGCGCAAGCGUUGUUCGGAAUCACUGGGCGUAAAGCGCGUGUAGGCGGCCGGGCAAGUCGGAUGUGAAAUCCCGAGGCUCAACCUCGGAACUGCAUUCGAAACUGCUCGGCUCGAGUCCCGGAGAGGAUGGCGGAAUUCCCGGUGUAGGGGUGAAAUCCGUAGAUAUCGGGAGGAACACCAGUGGCGAAGGCGGCCAUCUGGACGGUGACUGACACUGAGACGCGAAAGCGUGGGGAGCAAACAGGAUUAGAUACCCUGGUAGUCCACGCCGUAAACGGUGAGUGCUAGACGUCGCGGGUAUUGACCCCCGCGGUGUCGAAGCUAACGCGUUAAGCACUCCGCCU